rnacentral:rRNA from 1 species
GCUACUACCGAUUGAAUGAAUUAGUGAGGCCUUUGGAUUUAGAAGCGCUUUUUCAGUAUUUAUAUUGAAAGACGUUUUUGAAGAAGAUGGCCAAACUGUUUUAUUUAGAGGAAGUAAA